UGGGGGAGUAUUGCACAAUGGGGGGAACCCUGAUGCAGCGACGCCGCGUGGGUGAAGAAGCGCCUCGGCGCGUAAAGCCCUGUCAGCAGGGAAGAAAAUGACGGUACCUGAAGAAGAAGCCCCCGGCUAACUACGUGCC
rnacentral:rRNA from 1 species